rnacentral:rRNA from 1 species
UCUCCUGGAAACGGGUGGUAAUGCCGGAUGCUCCAUCACACCGCAUGGUGUGUUGGGAAAGCCUUUGCGGCAUGGGAUGGGGUCGCGUCCUAUCAGCUUGAUGGCGGGGUAACGGCCCACCAUGGCUUCGACGGGUAGCCGGCCUGAGAGGGCGACCGGCCACAUUGGGACUGAGAUACGGCCCAGACUCCUACGGGAGGCAGCAGUGGGGAAUAUUGCACAAUGGGCGCAAGCCUGAUGCAGCGACGCCGCGUGAGGGAUGGAGGCCUUCGGGUUGUAAACCUCUUUUGUUAGGGAGCAAGGCAUUUUGUGUUGAGUGUACCUUUCGAAUAAGCACCGGCUAACUACGUGCCAGCAGCCGCGGUAAUACGUAGGGUGCAAGCGUUAUCCGGAAUUAUUGGGCGUAAAGGGCUCGUAGGCGGUUCGUCGCGUCCGGUGUGAAAGUCCAUCGCUUAACGGUGGAUCCGCGCCGGGUACGGGCGGGCUUGAGUGCGGUAGGGGAGACUGGAAUUCCCGGUGUAACGGUGGAAUGUGUAGAUAUCGG